rnacentral:rRNA from 1 species
UCAUUCGCAAUGGGCGAAAGCCUGACGAUGCGACGCCGUGUGAGCGAAGAAGGCCUUAGGGUCGUAAAGCUCUUUCGCUUGGGAACAAGAGAGGUUGGCUAAUACCCAGCUAAUUUGAGUGUACCAGGUAAAGAAGCACCGGCUAACUCCGUGCCAGCAGCUGCGGUAAUACGGAGGGUGCAAGCAUUAAUCGGAUUUAUUGGGCGUAAAGGGCGCGUAGGCGGAUAUGUAAGUCAGAUGUGAAAUUCCUGGGCUCAACCUAGGAGCUGCAUUUGAAACUACAUUGUCUAGAGGGUAGGCGGAGAAAACAGAAUUCCACAAGUAGCGGUGAAAUGCGUAGAUAUGUGGAAGAAUACCGGUGGCGAAGGCGGUUUUCUAGCUUAUUCCUGACGCUGAAGCGCGAAAGCAAGGGGAUCAAACAGGAUUAGAUACCCUGGUAGUCCUUGCCGUAAACGAUGUAUACUUGGUGUAACCGGACUCAACCCUGGUUGUGCCGUAGCUAACGCGUUAAGUAUACCGCCUGGGAAGUACAGUCGCAAGGCUGAAACUCAAAAGAAUUGACGGGGACCCGCACAAGCAGUGGAGCAUGUGGUUUAAUUCGAUGCAACGCGAAGAACCUUACCCAGGUUUGACAUGCAGUAGACAGUACCAGAGAUGGUAUCUCCCGCAAGGGCUGCUGCACAGGUGCUGCAUGGCUGUCGUCAGCUCGUGCCGUGAGGUGUUGGGUUAAGUCCCGCAACGAGCGCAACCCUUAUCAUUAGUUGCCAACACGUAAUGGUGGGAACUCUAAUGAGACUGCCUGGGUUAACCAGGAGGAAGGUGAGGAUGACGUCAAGUCCGCAUGGCCCUUAUAUCUGGGGCUACACACGUGCUACAAUGGUCGGUACAGAAGGCAGCGAAACCGCGAGGUGAAGCAAAUCCAGAAAGCCGGCCCCAGUUCAGAUUGUAGUCUGCAACUCGACUACAUGAAGACGGAAUUGCUAGUAAUGGCGAGUCAGCAACAUCGCCGUGAAUACGUUCCCGGGUCUUGUACACACCGCCCGUCACAUCAUGGGAGUUGGUUUUACCCGAAGCCGCUGACUUAACCGCGAGGGAAGAGGCGUCUAAGGUAAGGCUGAUGACUGGGAUGAAGUCGUAACAAGGUAGCCCUACCGGAAGGUGGGGCUG